GAUGAACGCUGGCGGCGUGCCUAAUACAUGCAAGUCGAGCGAACGGACGAGAAGCUUGCUUUUCUGAUGCUAGCGGCGGACGGGUGAGUAACACGUGGAUAACCUACCUAUAAGACUGGGAUAACUUCGGGAAACCGGAGCUAAUACCGGAUAAUAUUUUGAACCGCAUGGUUCAAAAGUGAAAGACGGUCUUGCUGUCACUUAUAGAUGGAUCCGCGCUGCAUUAGCUAGUUGGUAAGGUAACGGCUUACCAAGGCAACGAUGCAUAGCCGACCUGAGAGGGUGAUCGGCCACACUGGAACUGAGACACGGUCCAGACUCCUACGGGAGGCAGCAGUAGGGAAUCUUCCGCAAUAGGCGAAAGCCUGACGGAGCAACGCCGCGUGAGUGAUGAAGGUCUUCGGAUCGUAAAACUCUGUUAUUAGGGAAGAACAUAUGUGUAAGUAACUGUGCACAUCUUGACGGUACCUAAUCAGAAAGCCACGGCUAACUACGUG
rnacentral:rRNA from 1 species